rnacentral:rRNA from 1 species
CCUACGGGAGGCAGCAGUGAGGAAUAUUGGUCAAUGGACGAGAGUCUGAACCAGCCAAGUAGCGUGAAGGAUGACUGCCCUAUGGGUUGUAAACUUCUUUUAUAUCGGAAUAAAAUGUUCCACGUGUGGGAUUUUGUAUGUACCAUAUGAAUAAGGAUCGGCGAACUCCGUGCCAGCAGCCGCGGUAAUACGGAGGAUCCGAGCGUUAUCCGGAUUUAUUGGGUUUAAAGGGAGCGUAGGUGGAUUGUUAAGUCAGUUGUGAAAGUUUGCGGCUCAACCGUAAAAUUGCAGUUGAAACUGGCAGUCUUGAGUACAGUAGAGGUGGGCGGAAUUCGUGGUGUAGCGGUGAAAUGCUUAGAUAUCACGAAGAACUCCGAUUGCGAAGGCAGCUCGCUGGACUGCAACUGACACUGAGGCUCGAAAGUGUGGGUAUCAAACAGGAUUAGAUACCCUUGUAGUC